GGGGAUCUCCCUAUAACCUAGACAAAAGCAUGCAAAAGAAAAUCAAACCAGUUGGGACCAUCCUUUUGGCCGAUCCUUGUCAUGCCACUACCUCUUCCAAAUAGAACCCCGGGCCAAAGAAAGCUGGGGCAACUUUGUGAACCUCACACGAGUUGUUCAUCAACCCAUACCACGAUAAAAAAAACUGGGGCAGCUUUGUGAGUCUCACACAAAAUUUUCAUCAAUCCAUAAUCCCAUGACCAGGGCAACUUUGAAAAUCUCACUUGAUUUUGUUUCACCCCAAUUUUCAUGGAUCCAAACCCCAGCUCAUUUUCCCAAACACAAAACCGGGGCAAAAUUUUUGGUAUAUCGUGUUUCGUCUUGACACUCACAUAUUGCAUCUCCUUUAAGGAUUGUAGUACCCAUGUGUCGGUCCCAG
rnacentral:lncRNA from 1 species